rnacentral:lncRNA from 1 species
UGCAGUGCAAGCAUCCACUCCUCAAGGGCCUAUACCACCACCUAUUAUAGAGAACCCGUAAUGAUUCAAUGACCUAAUUCGACAGGUCCAAGCAUUGACCAACACCAUCCAGCAUUUACAGCAAACCAUAAAGCAAUGACAACCCGCGCAACAUACUCAUCAAACUAUGCCCUCUCCAUGUAGCUAGCAAAACUGCUUUCAGAGAAUCCCCC